UACAGAGGGCGCGAGCGUUGUCCGGAAUCAUUGGGCGUAAAGAGCGUGUAGGCGGCCCGAUAAGUCCGCUGUGAAAGUCGAAGGCUCAACCCUCGAAUGCCGGCGGAUACUGUCGGGCUAGAGUCCGGAAGAGGCGAGUGGAAUUCCUGGUGUAGCGGUGAAAUGCGCAGAUAUCAGGAGGAACACCGAUGGCGAAGGCAGCUCGCUGGGACGGUACUGACGCUGAGACGCGAAAGCGUGGGGAGCAAACAGG
rnacentral:rRNA from 1 species